rnacentral:rRNA from 1 species
GACAAACGUUGGCGGCGUGCCUAACACAUGCAAGUCGAACGUGGCCUUAGUUUUCUAAGGUCUAGUGGCGGACGGCAGAGUAAUGCACAGGAAUAUACCUCGUAGUGGGGGAUAGCCCUUCGAAAGAAGGGGUAAUACCGCAUGUGUUCGCAAGAACAAAGCCGCAAGGCGCUAUGAGAAUAGCCUGUGUCCUAUCAGGUAGUUGGUGGGGUAAUGGCCUACCAAGCCUACGACGGGUAGCUGGUCUGAGAGGAUGAUCAGUCACACUGGAACUGAGACACGGUCCAGACUCCUACGGGAGGCAGCAGUGGGGAAUAUUGGACAAUGGGCGAAAGCCUGAUCCAGCCAUGCCGCGUGUGUGAAGAAGGUCUUCGGAUUGUAAAGCACUUUAAGUCGGGAGGAAGGGCUGUAGGCUAAUACCUUGCAGUUUUGACGUUACCGACAGAAUAAGCACCGGCUAACUUCGUGCCAGCCGCCGCCGUAA